CGAAUCAUUAGAGCAUGUGCAUUGGGGUCUCUUAACUGGGUCUGUUAAGGGAAUUGGGAAUUAAAAAAAAAGAUAAAUUGCCAUUUAGUUAAGGGACGGACCCUAAUUAGGGGGUGGAAGGAACGUCUCUUCUGGGCCACGUGUUGGGAUAGUUUGUGAUUUUGAGAGGAAAACAAAAGUCGAAGGCGACGAAGAAGUCGGUGGAUUCCGCCAGAAAGAGUCUCGGUGGUCUGAUCGUGGGAGAAUCUCAGCGGUGGCUUUCGUAGCCGAAGAAUCGUCGGCGGAUUUCGUCGACGACCAAUCUCCGAUGAAGAACCUCGGUGGCGUUGCUCGAAGAAGAAUCUCGGUGGCUCUGAGAAUCGGAGAAUCUCUGUGGCUCUCCUUGACUGAGGAAAUCGGCGGCUCUCCUCUACAAACAAACUCCUCGGUUGGCGCCUAGUUUAAUCGAAAGGUUGAUGGUUUGGUCAAAGAGAGCAUAGGGAGCAUCCUUGUAUUUUCAGGUUGAUGGUUUGGUGGUAAGUAUAAUGGUUUGGACAAAGAGAUCACGGGCUCAGUUCUUCUGAUCAAGGGCUCAGUUCACAUGAAAUGUCUUCUACAGGCGUUGUAGCUUUGUAGUUUUGUGGUCAGCUGUUGUAGUUUUUGUAGUUUUGUGGUCAUGCGUUUUAGUUUUGUGAUCUCACGGUCCUUUUUGUAUUCACAAAGUUUUAUAAAACAUCAGUCUUCUUCUCUGCUCCGUGUGUAUCAAACUUCAUCAGUCACAAAUAUAUGGUUUUAUGAACCAAA